rnacentral:lncRNA from 1 species
GAAUUUUAUGCUGAUUGUGGAAAGUCUUCUCCGUGUGCUGGGGUCACAGACGCCAGAGCUCCUCUGAUGGAACAGGUGUCGGAAACGAGAGGGGAGCCACCAUCUAAAGGGGCAACCCUGGGAAGUGCGCACUCGGUGAUGUUUCCAGAGAGGCUCUGGGUGUUCUCUCACGUAGAGAAAACAGUGGCCAGAAAGGUGAGGGGAAGGAGCUGGGGAGAAGUUUGUUAGAUGAUGCUCGGAAGGUGGUAUAAGUUGUGGAGUGUCCCUCCAAAAAAAUCGACGUCCCUCGGAACCUCAGAAUGAAUUGAACUCGUCGUGGCUGUGAGAAGAAACGAGACCGUCCCACGCUGGGUUACAGAGGGCUCUAACUCCAAUGCCUGCUCUGCCAGGAACACCAGGAGAGGAUGCUCAGAGCUCACAGGGCACUUUGGGUGCAGACAGAAGCAGAGCCUGGAGAGGCAGGCAGUGCUGUGAGCCGGACAAUGCCCAGGACAGCAGUGCACACCAGGAGCUGGGGCAUGGUCAUAGAGCAGGUUCUCUCUCCAAGCCCUCAGUGGGAACCAACCCUGCUGACCUGCUUUGAGCUUCCCCUGCUCCCGCCCUGUCUCCUGCCCAACAUUGUCACGGCAGCCAGAGAAAAUAAAUUCAGCGGAUACAUGAAACCAAGACGGAGCAUGAAUGGAUCUGCACUGGGCACGUGGAGGUCCUCAGCAGUGUUAGACCGCAGCCCUCCAGGGGAGAACUUUGAGGAGUGGACGGGAAGUGAGAAGAAGGUGGAUACCAUCUAUCUGUCCCUGCCCUGCCUGUCCAGGCCAUCCCCAGUCACCCCAUGCCUCGCUGUGAGAGAGGGAAGGAGGAGACCCAGGGGCAUCUGCCUGCAGUUCUGUCUGUGGGACACGGAGAGGAGGAACUUCAAGUCCUCAGCCCUCUCCCAGGGCACUCGGGAGACUGGCUGGGCGCCCAACCAAGAGGAGCUUGGCUCUGCCCAGGGCCAGCAACGUGACACAGCCAACAUGAAGCAGCCACCAUUACAUUCUGGAAGACUGAAAGGAAAUAAACACAAGAGAUACUUAAAAUGGAACUGCAGACGAUGUGCUAUGGGGGCAACCCAACCCCAUGGAGACAGGUUAUCCUCAGCACCCAGAACCCUGGAACACCUGGUAAAUAUUUCCAAUAGACUCCCAGUAUCCAAGUUACUGUAUGUUUCGCAGAAACAAGAAAAAAACACCUUGAUCUGCACUCAAGAGGUGGCUAUGGAAUGGAUGAAUCAACUCUCAAGUUCAACUUUGCACCCCAGACUCCAGUGCUGUUGCAGCCACCGAGGCCAGGAGCCAGCCUGGUCUGCGUUGGGCACUCUCGCUUCCGUCUGCCAGUCAGUUGAUUCUGUAGCAGGAAUUUGCCUCUGCAGGGAGUGGGCUGGGAGUGGGCUGCAGAGCAGGGAAGCUGGCGUUCAGUUGUGA